GGGGCUACGUUGUUCGGAAUCAUGGGUCGUAAAGCGCGCGUAGGCGGAUUGGAAAGUUGGGGGUGAAAUCCCGGGGCUCAACCCCGGAACUGCCUCCAAAACUAUCAGUCUGGAGUUCGAGAGAGGUGAGUGGAAUUGCGAGUGUAGAGGUGAAAUUCGUAGAUAUUCGCAGGAACACCAGUGGCGAAGGCGGCUCACUGGCUCGAUACUGACGCUGAGGUGCGAAAGUGUGGGGAGCAAACAGGAUUAGAUACCGCUGNGAUUAGUUCCACCACCGGUAAAACCGAUUGAAUUGCCCAAGACGGU
rnacentral:rRNA from 1 species